AACGAACGCUGGCGGCAGGCCUAACACAUGCAAGUCGAGCGAGGACUUCGGUCCUAGCGGCGGACGGGUGAGUAACGCGUGGGAACGUGCCCUUUGCUUCGGAAUAGCCCUGGGAAACUGGGAGUAAUACCGGAUGAGCCCUUUGGGGGAAAGAUUUAUCGGCGAAGGAUCGGCCCGCGUUGGAUUAGGUAGUUGGUGGGGUAAUGGCCUACCAAGCCGACGAUCCAUAGCUGGUUUGAGAGGAUGAUCAGCCACACUGGGACUGAGACACGGCCCAGACUCCUACGGGAGGCAGCAGUGGGGAAUCUUAGACAAUGGGGGAAACCCUGAUCUAGCCAUGCCGCGUGAGCGAUGAAGGCCUUAGGGUUGUAAAGCUCUUUCAGCUGGGAAGAUAAUGACGGUACCAGCAGAAGGAGCCCCGGCUAACUCCGUG
rnacentral:rRNA from 1 species